AUGGAGCCGACCUUGAAAUACCACCCUUUAAUGUUUGAUGUUCUAACGUUGACCCGUAAUCCGGGUUGCGGACAGUGUCUGGUGGGUAGUUUGACUGGGGCGGUCUCCUCCUAAAGAGUAACGGAGGAGCACGAAGGUUGGCUAAUCCUGGUCGGACAUCAGGAGGUUAGUGCAAUGGCAUAAGCCAGCUUGACUGCGAGCGUGACGGCGCGAGCAGGUGCGAAAGCAGGUCAUAGUGAUCCGGUGGUUCUGAAUGGAAGGGCCAUCGCUCAACGGAUAAAAGGUACUCCGGGGAUAACAGGCUGAUACCGCCCAAGAGUUCAUAUCGACGGCGGUGUUUGGCACCUCGAUGUCGGCUCAUCACAUCCUGGGGCUGAAGUAGGUCCCAAGGGUAUGGCUGUUCGCCAUUUAAAGUGGUACGCGAGCUGGGUUUAGAACGUCGUGAGACAGUUCGGUCCCUAUCUGCCGUGGGCGCUGGAGAACUGAGGGGGGCUGCUCCUAGUACGAGAGGACCGGAGUGGACGCAUCACUGGUGUUCGGGUUGUCAUGCCAAUGGCACUGCCCGGUAGCUAAAUGCGGAAGAGAUAAGUGCUGAAAGCAUCUAAGCACGAAACUUGCCCCGAGAUGAGUUCUCCCUGACUCCUUGAGAGUCCUGAAGGAACGUUGAAGACGACGACGUUGAUAGGCCGGGUGUGUAAGCGCAGCGAUGCGUUGAGCUAACCGGUACUAAUGAACCGUGAGGCUUAACCU
rnacentral:rRNA from 1 species